rnacentral:rRNA from 1 species
UACCAGCUCUCCGAGUGGUAGGGACGGUUAUUGGGCUUAAAGCGUCCGUAGCCGGCUCGGUAAGUCUCUCGUUAAAUCCAGCGACCUAAUCGUUGGACUGCGGGAGAUACUGUCGGGCUAGGGGGCGGGAGAAGCCGAUGGUAUUCCCGGGGUAGGGGUGAAAUCCUAUAAUCCCGGGAGGACCACCAGUGGCGAAGGCGGUCGGCUAGAACGCGCUCGACGGUGAUGGACGAAAGCUGGGGGAG